rnacentral:lncRNA from 1 species
GUCCAGCUUACACUCAAGGGGAAGGAAUUGCACAAAAGCAUGGAUAUCAACGGUAGUCUUCAAGCCAGAAGAAAUUCGAUUCUGUAGGCCAGAGUGGCACUCAGGGAGAGGUCGGAGCUCAGGUUUGAGAAUGCUAGAAGCCAAGCUUGCAUCUCUUCUCAGGCAGCCACACACCCUGCCCUGCCCUCAGCAGGAGAAGGAGAGCUACGUCUCAGAAGAUCAUGCUCUGAAAGACCUCUAGAUACGGAUGUUCAGAUGCACCCAGUGGAAAAGCUAAAUUGAACCCAAUGGUGCCAUAGCAAUUCCACCAACUGACAAGUGUUCCCCUCAU